UUUUUUAAUCUUUUUUUUGUCAUAAGAUAUUAUUUAAGAGUCAAACGAGCCAAUUUUUAGAAAACAUUGUUUACAAAAGUGAUAUGUAGUGGUUCCGCACGAAUUUUUCGUUCCAAAUAGUUUGCUUUGACAUUUGCAUUAUGAGGGAUUAAGGAUAAAGAAAAAGAAUAGAAUUCUUCUUUGUCAUUUUGAAACUCUUCCAAAUAUACUGAAAAUGCUGGUCAUUCGGUUGGGGAAGACACUAUCUUCACCAGGUCUAAACAGUCUGUAAAAAAGCUCUUUCUUGGUUGUCGGCACCAAUCAUACACUUCAUUGCCCAGAGUAAAGCUUCGACUUCUAUAUGGAGAGGAAAAAGACUUCUAAGCCGAUUAGCAGCUCCCAUAGUUGACGCCCCUCCAUUUAAUGAUGUACAUAGCCACCCUCCCAUAGUUGAUCACUUUUUCAAUCUUUUUUCAUUUUUUUACUUGCAUAUAACGUUUUUGGAA
rnacentral:sRNA from 1 species